rnacentral:lncRNA from 1 species
ACUGGACGACAUGCUUGUGUAUGGUUUUGUGUUCAGACCCGAACGGUUCGCACACUAAAGAAUCACAACUCCUCUGUUCUUGCACGUGCCUAAAUGUGCAGGUGGUUAGUGCAGGCAUUUGUGAGAGCAGAUGACAGAUAAGCAUAUAUUUUGAGAGGACUGUGUAGUUCAUUUUAAUGUUUUACAUAUCUUCGUGUUCUCGUAGAAGGCCACACGUGUGUAAGCAUCAAAAUCAGUCCGGGCCGGGCAACUUGGUGCACACUUAUUUGUUUUGAGAACAGAGUAAGGUGUGUUCA